rnacentral:rRNA from 1 species
CAUGUCCUUUUGAUAUUUAAUUUAAGGUCUAACCUGCCCAAUGAUUAUAAAUUAAAUGGCCGCGGUAUUUUGACCGUGCAAAGGUAGCAUAAUCAUUAGUUUUUUAAUUGAAAGCUGGAAUGAAGGGUUGAAUGAGAAAAUUACUGUCUUUUAUAUAUUUAAUUAGAAUUUUAUUUUUAAGUUAAAAAGCUUAAAUUUAAUUUAUAGACGAGAAGACCCUUUAGAGUUUUAUAAAUUUAUAUAUAAAAUUUUUUAGUAAUAACUUAAUUUUAUAUAUUUUUUUUAUUUAAUUGGGGUGAUUGAAAAAUUUAAAAAACUUUUUUUUUUAUUUUACAUUUAUAUAUGAAUAAUUGAUCCAUUAUUUAUGAUUAUAAGAUUAAAUUACCUAAGGGAUAACAGCGUUAUUUUUUUUGAGAGUUCAAAUCGAAAAAAAAGUUUGCGACCUCGAUGUUGGAUUAAAAUUAAAUUAUGGUGUAGAGGCUAUAAUCUGA